rnacentral:rRNA from 1 species
AUGAAAGUCUUGAGUUGGAAUUGUCGCGGGCUUGGGAACACCGUGGCAGUUCGAGCUCUACUGGAUGUCCAACGAGCAUGCAAUCCUGAGGUGAUGUUUUUGUCAGAGACACAUCUUGAAAGUUAUCCAUCGGAGUGUUUGAGGAAGAGAUUGCAGAUGGACCAAAAGUUUGUGUGCCCUGGAGAUGGCAGAAAGGGAGGACUGAUCUUGUUU